rnacentral:misc_RNA from 1 species
UACAGAGGGUGCAAACGUUGUUCGGAAUCACUGGGCAUAAAGCGCACGUAGGCGGCUCGUUUAGUGCGGAGUGAAAUCCCACGGCUUACCCGUGGAACUGCUUUGCAUACUGGCGAGCUCGAGGACGGUAGAGGAGAGCGGAACUCUUGGUGGAGCGGUGAAAUGCGUAGAUAUCAAGAGGAACACCGAAGGCGAAGGCAGCUCUCUGGUCCGUUUCUGACGCUGAGGUGCGAAAGCCAGGGUAGCGAACGGG